AUGAAGACUGCCAUUGCAGCAGCCGCUCCCCUCCUCCUAUUCCUGGCCCUGGCCGCCAUGGCAGGCGCCGUGACGUUCGACGCGACGAACACGGUUCCGGACUCCGCCGGCGGGCAGAGAUUCGACCAGGACGUUGGCGUCGACUACGCCAAGCAGGUGCUCUCCGAGGCCUCGUCCUUCAUCUGGACCACCUUCAACCAGCCCAACCCGGAAGACCGGAGGGACUACGACUCCGUCACCCUCGCUGUGGUUGACAACAUCGAGCCUGUGGCCCAGACCUCCGGGAACGCUAUCCAACUCCGAGCCCAGUAUGUCGCCGGCUUCGACGAGGGCGACGUCAAGAAGGAGGUGAAGGGCGUGCUGUACCACGAGGCGACGCACGUGUGGCAGUGGAACGGGCAGGGCAGGGCAAACGGCGGGCUCAUCGAGGGGAUCGCCGACUACGUGCGGCUCAAGGCCGACCUCGCGCCGACGCACUGGCGCCCGCAGGGGAGCGGCGACCGUUGGGACGAGGGGUACGACGUGACGGCCAAGUUCCUGGACUACUGCGACUCCCUCAAGGCCGGGUUCGUGGCGGAGAUGAACAGCAAGCUCAAGGACGGAUACAGCGACGACUACUUCGUGCAGAUCCUGGGGAAGAGCGUGGACCAGCUGUGGAACGACUACAAGGCCAAGUACCCCCAGCCCCAGGGCUGA
rnacentral:rRNA from 1 species